CGGGAUGUGGCGCAGUCCGGUUAGCGUACUGGUCUGGGGGACCAGGGGUCGCAGGUUCAAAUCCUGUCAUCCCGACGA
rnacentral:tRNA from 1 species